rnacentral:rRNA from 1 species
UACGUAGGGGGCUAGCGUUGUCCGGAUUUAUUGGGCGUAAAGAGCGUGUAGGCGGCCUGGUAGGUCUGCUGUGAAAACUCGAGGCUCAACCUCGAGAUGUCGGCGGAAACCAUCUGGCUAGAGUCCGGAAGAGGAGAGUGGAAUUCCUGGUGUAGCGGUGAAAUGCGCAGAUAUCAGGAAGAACACCUAUGGCGAAGGCAGCUCUCUGGGACGGUACUGACGCUGAGACGCGAAAGCGUGGGAGCGAACAGG